UACAGGGGGUGCAAACGUUGCUCGGAAUCAUUGGGCGUAAAGCGCACGUAGGCGGAUUGUUAAGUCAGGGGGGAAAUCCUGGAGCUCAACUCCAGAACUGCCUUUGAUACUGGCGAUCUCGAGUCCGGGAGAGGUGAGUGGAACUGCGAGUGUAGAGGUGAAAUUCGUAGAUAUUCGCAAGAACACCAGUGGCGAAGGCGGCUCACUGGCCCGGUACUGACGCUGAGGUGCGAAAGCGUGGGGAGCAAACAGG
rnacentral:rRNA from 1 species